CCACCCUCCUCCAUUUCCUUUUCCGGGCUUCCUGGUUCUGCCAGCUGUGGAGACAGCAGGGCUGCUCUGCGCAUGUGUGUGUGUGUGUGCAGUUCAAACUGGUCACUACGUAACUGCCGGUGGAAUCGGAGAAUGCUAUCACUUUUGACUGCAGUGCUGGGUUCUGUCCUUACACUUGUUUACUUUCUGGAGAGGAGGCUACAUUGAAAGGUAAAAUUUUCUUUUUAAUCUCUUAAAGAUUUUGUCCAAUAUCUACUGAGCAUUAUGCUAGUUAGAAUAAUUUAUGUUUUGAGCAAUUUCCUAAUUUGAUUGUUUUUGCAUAAUUCUAAUUUUUUUCCCCAUGGAAAACUCAGUUCUGUUGUUUAUGUCAUGAAGAAUCUUUCAAGUUUUCAAUGUUCACAUAUUUUUCUGGGUUCAGUGGAAUGCUUUUGAAGCAUUGCCAGGAUUGGGGAUCUUCUCUUGAGAAAUGAAGGCACUUCAGGAUAAAGAAAUCCUCUUUAAGGCCUCAUCUUUCUUUUCUUUCCCUGUCUUCUAGACACACACACACUCACACACACACACACACAUCACUCUGAAGCACAUUCCAGAAUACAGACUGUGUUGUUUACUACAUUUAUUCCAGGAGCUGAAACUGGAUGUGGACCUGGUAGAGUCAAAUUUUG
rnacentral:lncRNA from 1 species